UACGUAGGGCGCAAGCGUUGUCCGGAAUUAUUGGGCGUAAAGAGCUCGUAGGCGGCUUGUCACGUCGGAUGUGAAAGCCCGGGGCUCAACUGGGGAGGGUCACGCGAUACUGAUCGACUCGAAGGCAGGAGAGGGUAGUGGAAUUCCCGGUGUAGUGGUGAAAUGCGUAGAUAUCGGGAGGAACACCGGUGGCGAAGGCGGCCCCCUGGUUGGAUACUGACGCUGAGACGCGAAAGCGUGGGGAGCAAACAGG
rnacentral:rRNA from 1 species